GUGCUUGCUUCGGCUGCACAUAUACUAAAAUUGGAACGAUACAGAGAUUAGCAUGGCCCCUGCACAAGGAUGACACGCAAAUCCGUGAAGCGUUCUAUAUUUAA
rnacentral:snRNA from 1 species